AUAAAGAAAUAAGAGC
rnacentral:rRNA from 1 species